rnacentral:rRNA from 1 species
NNNNACCUCAGAUCAGGCGAGAUCACCCGCUGAAUUUAAGCAUAUUAAUAAGCGGAGGAAAAGAAACUAACAAGGAUUCCCCCAGUAACGGCGAGCGAAGUGGGAAUAGCUCGAGCCUGAAAUCGCAUUCCAUGCCGGAGAAUUGUGGCCGGGAGAGGCAGCUGUGCCCGGACUGGUGCUGUCCAAGUUGACCUGGAAAGGCACGCCAGAGAGGGUGAGAGCCCCGUGCGUGACACUGCCGGUCUGGGNCGCUACUGUCUUCGGAGAGUCGGGUUGUUUGGGAUUGCAGCCCAAAGUGGGUGGUAAACUCCAUCUAAAGCUAAAUACCGGCACGAGACCGAUAGCGAACAAGUACCGUGAGGGAAAG